CGGGGCGUAGCUCAGUUGGCUAGAGCGCCUGGUUUGGGACCAGGAGGCCGAAGGUUCAAGUCCUUUCGCCCCGACCA
rnacentral:tRNA from 4 species